rnacentral:rRNA from 1 species
UACAGAGGGUGCGAGCGUUAAUCGGAAUUACUGGGCGUAAAGCGUGCGCAGGCGGUUUUGUAAGUCUGUCGUGAAAUCCCCGGGCUCAACCUGGGAACUGCAUUGGUGACUGCAAGGCUUGAGUGUGUCAGAGGGAGGUGGAAUUCCGCGUGUAGCAGUGAAAUGCGUAGAUAUGCGGAGGAACACCGAUGGCGAAGGCAGCCUCCUGGGAUAACACUGACGCUCAUGCACGAAAGCGUGGGGAGCAAACAGG